CAUGUAGGCGACUCGUCAAGUCUGAUGUGAAAGCCCUGGGCUCAACCCAGGAAGUGCAUUGGAAACUGGCGAACUUGAGUACGGGAGAGGAAAGUGGAAUUUCGAGUGUAGGAGUGAAAUCCGUAGAUAUUCGAAGGAACACCAGUGGCGAAGGCGGCUUUCUGGACCGAUACUGACGCUGAGAUGCGAAAGCGUGGGGAGCAAACAGGAUUAGAUACCCUGGUAGUCC
rnacentral:rRNA from 1 species